rnacentral:misc_RNA from 1 species
UACGUAGGGUGCAAGCGAUAAUCGGAAUUACUGGGCGUAAAGGGUGCGCAGGCGGCCUUGUAAGUCAGAUGUGAAAUCCCCGGGCUUAACCUGGGAACUGCGUUCGAAACUACAGGGCUAGAGUGUAGCAGAGGGGGGUGGAAUUCCAUGUGUAGCAGUGAAAUGCGUAGAGGUAUGGAAGAACAUCGAUGGCGAAGGCAGCCCCCUGGGUUAACACUGACGCUCAGGCACGAAGGCGUGGGGAGCGAACGGG